GAGUUAGAAGUAUGUUUUGUUACACUACCUUACCCUCAACUCUUACUCGAUGUUCUCGCUGCACCAAACCUCUAUCACUCUUAUACCACCAUCGCAAUUCCUCCAACCAACUGUCAAGGAUUCUACAAUCUUCUGUAAAUAUCUCCAAGUAUCCUCACAGAACAAUCGUUCAGCAGUCAUCUAGAACAUUCCAUACAUCCCAUACAUUACAGCUGAGUGAAACUCCUCGAGAUCCCUUCGAUCCGAUCGUAGCUGAUGACAACGUCGUGGGCCUAGUCCACCCAGAAAUGAUGAACAGAAUGAAAACACGGUAUCCCAUGAUGUGGCUACUUAAUGCUUCAAUGGCAGGAACUGGGUUAUUAUGCUUUACCAGCUCUAACGGUAUGGUGCCGUCUUUAGGGUUUGUUCUCAUAUUUUCCUCACUACUUUUUACCGCAACUAUGUGGUACAACGCCAGGUGUAUUGGUAAGAUAUCCCUGAAUCAGGACACAACUGCUACCUUAUCUCAUCUCAAUAUGUUUGGCAGGCGCGUGGAUAAAACUGUUCCUCUUUCAUCACUUCAGUUAAUGACAAAGCUAGAUCACAAACAGUGGAUUGAUGGUAAAUUGUACUAUAUCAAUUGGGAUCAGUUUAAAGCUAAUGACAGGUUGUGGGAGAAUGCUAUUCCUGCACAGAAACCCCAUGUUCUUAUUCCUGAAACUGUUUACAGAAAUAAAAAGUGAGGAUCAUAGAUCGGAUAUGAAUCAUGGUUUUGUUUCUGUUGAAAAAUUGAAGACCAUUUGUAUCACUCGUUCAUAAUGUUCUCUUGUACAAUGUUUAUUGAGGUAACGAUUCUAAUAUCAUGUUUUACUUUUGACGUGCCUUAUCUGAAUCA